rnacentral:tRNA from 1 species
GGAGAGAUGGCUGAGUGGUUAGAAGCACUGGUUGUUCUUCCAGAGGGCCCUGGUUCAAUUCCUGGUUCAAUUCA